GGCGACGGCAGCCGGCCCCGCCCCACCGCCCCGCUGCUCCCAGGCCUUGCCGCGCGGGCGGGAGGAGGCGCCUGCUGCCGUGGCCUCCAGGAGGAACGCACCCUCGGGCGGGGACGUGGAGGAAUGGGGUCCGGAACGGCAAGGGACCCGUCUCACCCGUAGGUUCGCUGCCUCGUUCAGGAAGCCGGGCGGGUUAGCGCUAGUUUCAUAGUUCGUGGCUGGCCUCAGAUCACGAGGUUGUCGUGCAUUUGACAGCAGGAGGUAGGACUGGGUCACUGGCUCCGGGAUGAGCAGAAAAGGGGGAGAGAUCGGCCAUCACAGCCUGACAAGACCUCGGGCCGUCUGCUGGAGAUCCAGAGGUCCCGCAAGGGCGUGGGCCCGCUCCGUGCCCAGCAGCUGGUCGGUGGAAUAGACUACGUGCAGGCUGUCACUCCACGACUUGCUUCAGGACAGAGGCCGUCUUGCUGUCCUGAGGUCUCCGUCCCAAGGUGGGCAUCCGCUGGGUGAGCCUAGGCGGCGUCUCAGUUCUGGAGAGAGGAGAACCAGGGGGACAGGUGCUGCCUGCCCCUCCCAACAGCCCGCGGGCCUGUCAGCUGGAACAGGUGUGGCCCUGAGCGGUGUCCUCCCAGGAAGACCUGCAGGCUCCUAAAAUCAUUUUGGUCGGGAUGUCGGUGUUGAAAGCAGUCUUGUGUGCUCAGCCGUGAAUUUCCUUUAGUAGUAACCAACCUGUCCGGAAGUUUCCCCGAUGACAUCCGCAGCCCGUUCACACGCGUGUUGUGAGGGUGGCAUGUAUCACACACUGUGCUGUUACAAUAAAGUGAGCCAUGUUUAUUUACAAGCCUUGAGAUUCCGUGCAUUGACGAGGAAGCAGCCAGAACAGUGCUUCACAGCAGCCUGGCCUGCACACGCGUGCAUGCGUGUAAAAUGUGCACUGUGCAUACUGGUCACACUCAUGCACUAUGGGAAACUCCCGCUUUUAUGAAAUUUACCUAUGGCGACCGGCUGACACGCAGUUUCCAGUUGGGAGAGUCAUUCUGUGCAGUGUUAUUCUCUGGAAGCAGUUAUAAAGCAUAAGAAAACUAACUUUGCUUUUACGUAUUACUCACCUUACGCCUGUGAGGACAGGCUGUCUGCUUGUGUUCAAGUCGCGCACAUGAUGUUCCAAGCGAAGGAUCUAAAGGCUACUUGGGUGAUGACACAGCGACAUGGCUGACAAGCUUAUUAGCUGGCAGGGGACGGGGUCGCGGAGGUCUUCGAGUUGAGGGAGGGAGCGGGUUGGUCUUGCUCUCUCGGGGGGGCCUAAGGAGGGCUCGGUGUAAUGACAUACGGGUGUGAUUAAGGAACACAGGGAAUGUUGAAAAUGACUGCAGUCGAAACGCGUUGCCAUUAAUCUUCCUCAAAGAACAUUGUAAUUGAACAGCGAUGGCAUCUGCGGUGGUGUCACCCUCCAGACUUACAUGGAGACCGUGUGUAGCCGGCCUCACAGGUCCCUGGGACCCCUGCUCUGGAGAGGGUGUGGGGGACACGUAGCCAGACCUUUCUGACGCCUUUGUGUUGGGUUCGUGGGUUCUGGGGGCCAGGGGCACGGCCCACGUGAGAAGGCCUUUAAAAAGCAGUUUCUUAGAGGCGAGGCAUUAGACUUCCGACUGGGGACAAAGCAUUGAUGGAACGAAUCCAGAAAAGGGUUCUCGUCCCCACCGUGUACGACCACCACUGGUAGCUGGUGUUUCCCCUUCAAGGUUCAGGUGAGCCUUACAGAUGAGGGCUGGGCCCACGAACCCGACCGCGUUUGCAUAACAGCCCGUCUGCCUUAAAUCGUGGUGCUCACUUCUCUGCCUUGCUAAUGUCCUCUGUGACUUGGCGCUGCGUUAAAAGUCUAUUGAGGCAGAUCUUAAUG